CUUACGGGAGGCAGCAGUAGGGAAUCUUCCACAAUGGGCGAAAGCCUGAUGGAGCAACGCCGCGUGAGCGAAGAAGGUCUUCGGAUCGUAAAGCUCUGUUGUAAGGGAAGAACAAGUGCAGUAGUAACUGGCUGCACCUUGACGGUACCUUACUAGAAAGCCACGGCUAACUACGUGCCAGCAGCCGCGG
rnacentral:rRNA from 2 species